rnacentral:rRNA from 1 species
UUCCAGACUCCUACGGGAGGCAGCAGUGGGGAAUAUUGCACAAUGGGGGGAACCCUGAUGCAGCAAUGCCGCGUGGGUGAAGAAGCACUCCGGUGCGUAAAGCCCUGUCAGCAGGGAAGAAAAUGACAGUACCUGACCAAGAAGCCCCGGCUAACUACGUGCCAGCAGCCGCGGUAAUACGUAGGGGGCAAGCGUUAUCCGGAUUUACUGGGUGUAAAGGGAGCGCAGGCGGUAUGGCAAGUCAGAUGUGAAAACCCAGGGCCCAACCCUGGGACUGCAUUUGAAACUGCCAUACUGGAGUGCCGGAGAGGUAAGUGGAAUUCCUAGUGUAGCGGUGAAAUGCGUAGAUAUUAGGAGGAACACCAGUGGCGAAGGCGGCUUACUGGACUGUAACUGACACUGAGGCACGAAAGCGUGGGGAGCAAACAGGAUUAGAUACCCCCGUAA